GGCCCAGACUCCUACGGGAGGCAGCAGUGGGGAAUAUUGCACAAUGGGGGAAACCCUGAUGCAGCGACGCCGCGUGAGUGAAGAAGUCUUUCGGUAUGUAAAGCUCUAUCAGCAGGGAAGAAAAUGACGGUACCUGACUAAGAAGCCCCGGCUAACUACGUGCCAGCAGCCGCGGUAAUACGUAGGGGGCAAGCGUUAUCCGGAUUUACUGGGUGUAAAGGGGGCGCAGACGGCGAUGCAAGCCAGGAGUGGAAGCCCGGGGCCCAACCCCGGGACUGCGCUUGGAACUGCGUGGCUGGAGUGCAGGGGGGGCAGGCGGAAUUCCUAGUGUGGCGGUGAAAUGCGUAGAUAUUAGGAGAAACACCAGUGGCGAGGGCGGCUUACUGGGCUGUAACUGACGUUGAGGCUCGAAAGCGUGGGGAGCAAACAG
rnacentral:rRNA from 1 species